GAGGGUGUAGCUCAGUAGUAAGUGUGCUUAGCUUUCAUAAGGUCCUGGGUUCAAUUCCCAGUACCUCCA
rnacentral:tRNA from 1 species